rnacentral:lncRNA from 1 species
GCAGGAUUCCCGUGUAAUCAGUCAUGUAUUUUGACACGUGUCAAACGGUACAUUGAUUUUCGGCAUAUCAAAGAAAAACAGGCACGUGUCUAAAUAAUGUUGAAUAUCUUGUUUAUUUAUGAUUAUUUUUCUAUAAAAUUUGAAAUUUAUGCAUUAAAUAUCAAUUUCUACCAUAAUAUGGAAAAAAAUUACAUGUAACAGCACCCCAUCUAGUCCUUAGUGGCAUAUUAUCAGUCCUUAGUGCACUAAGGACUCCUUAGCAGUGUUUAGACG